UCUUCUGGGAUAUUUAUUUUUCAACAAAAAUACAUACUCGAUAUUUUUUAAGAGAGUGGUAUAUUAGGAACUAAACCAACCAAUUUUCUUAUGCAACAACAACUAUGGCUCUUGACAGACAAUGGUCCAUCCCUUGAUAAUCUGGGUCAAUAUUGAUGAUUAUUGGGGCCUCUUAUUUAUUUGACGAUAAGUAGGUCGGAAAUUGUCGAGUUUGUACAUAUCUUGACAUAAUUCAUGCAGUCUC
rnacentral:lncRNA from 1 species